GUGCAUGUCCAGGCUUUGGGGCAGGUAACUGAAGUCUUUGGCCUAUGAGGUGAGAGGUCACUUGGGUGACCUGGGAGUAAAUCCCUUCCCCUCCCUGGCUCUGUAAAGCCAAGUGUUAAAUGAGAGACUUAUAUUCCAGGCAAAGGCUUUGUGCAAAUGCCCAUCUAAGCCAUGCCCUCUGCAAGGAAUCCCCUUUCUUAGUGAUGAUGGUGGGGAGGUGGGGAGGGUGCAGUGCAACUCCCAUUCCUGAUCUCCUAUCACCAGAGCAGAAGAAUCACUGGAGAACGACUCUGUCUGAAGCUUGUUCAGCCUGGCUUCCUUGAGCAAGCAACUUAUUCACAGGCGCCCUCCCCUCGCCGGGGGCCGCGAGUUGCAUUUGGUAAAACCCAGCCCCGGAAUAUAUAGAUCGUUGGAGCGCAAUGA
rnacentral:lncRNA from 1 species